ACCCUCUCAGGAUCACACCUGAAGAGUUUCCAGUACUCUGCCAGUCUUGGCUAAGGGAGGAAGAGUCAAGCAGAGGCAUGCCCACUCCAUUUCUACCUUGGGUAGUGGCUAGAGAGUGGAAGGCAAUCUGCUACAAGU